rnacentral:rRNA from 1 species
CCCGCACAAGCGGUGGAGCAUGUGGUUUAAUUCGACGCAACGCGAAGAACCUUACCUGGGCUUGACAUCUGCGGAAUUUCUAUGAAAGUAGGAAGUGCCCUUCGGGGAGCCGCAAGACAGGUGCUGCAUGGCUGUCGUCAGCUCGUGUCGUGAGAUGUUGGGUUAAGUCUCGCAACGAGCGCAACCCCUAUUGUUAGUUGCCAUCAUUCAGUUGGGCACUCUAGCGAGACUGCCGGUAAUAAACCGGAGGAAGGUGGGAUGACGUCAAAUCAUCAUGCCCCUUAUGACCUGGGCUACACACGUGCUACAAUGGUUGGUACAACGAGUUGCGAGUCGGUGACGGCGAGCUAAUCUCUUAAAGCCAAUCUCAGUUCGGAUUGUAGGCUGCAACUCGCCUACAUGAAGUCGGAAUCGCUAGUAAUCGCGGAUCAGCACGCCGCGGUGAAUACGUUCCCGGGCCUU